AGUCUACUAUUGCAAUUGUGUUUCAGUUGUCUAUCAAUGACAUCUUAAUUGUUACUUUUAGCAAUUUUGGUAGUCUACUAAUUCAAUGGCGUCACAAUUGCUUUCCGAUGGCGUGCCACUGACACUUCAAUGACGCAAUUGUAAAUAGUUGGUAGUCCCGUACUUAAUGACAAGCCAAUGAUCGAAUGUAUGCGUAGUCUGCUAAUAGUUUGACAGCUGCAAUGACCAUUGAAUCGCCAGUGAACUAUCAUUGAUGCGCCAUUGUGCUGUCAUUGCUUUUAAGCCAGUGUUUGUUUGGUUUUACGGGUUUAACAUCAUGUUUAGCAAUAGUUUGGGUAUUUAGUUGUUAUCUUUCUACGUUGUAAGGUGAACACCUAGGCAUAAUGUCUAGAAUAAGAUGGAAUAUUUUGGAAUUGGCCAACGCGGUUGAUACUCAGGAGUUGAUAUUGAUACUCGCUUGCUAAGGAGCAAUAUAGACCCCUUUCAGGAUAUAUCCUUUGUAAAAAUGUUUCGCCUUGGGAAGGAAACUGUACAGGAGCUAGUGGAGCAGCUCACUCCACUUAUUCCGAGACCACAACGGAAUGAUGGAAUAUUUGCGGAGACGAAGGUUAGAAAACAACUUCAAAUUAUCAUUGCUUAUCUCUAAAGGCAUGGCUAUAAUCUAAGAAUACAUGAAGUUGGUAGGUAUGAAUGUAAUGUAUUACUGUUGCAGAUUCUGAUAGCCCUAGCAUUUUAUACACCAUCUCAUACCAGACAUUAGUUGGGCAGAGUGCCCUCCACAGAAGACUGUGUCAAGAGCUGUGAGGCAAGUUACAGAGACACUCAAUGCCAAAUUUAACAAAUAUGUUAAAUGGCCCAUCCAGCAUGACCGGAAUGCCAUGAAAGCUAAAUGUUUGCUCCGAGCACAUGCAUUGCAUUACAGUCCAAUCACCACAGGCAAGAUUGUGAAUGCAUGUUAUAUUUUGCACAGUAUUGCAAACAAGACCAACGCACGUGCCUCCACUCAUGCCUGUGGAAGCUCUUCAUCUGCAACAGGAUGAACACAAUUCAAGGGCCGAGAGUUGGAAAGUGCUAUUGAUGGACAGCAUUCACAAAGCCAUCGAGUUAACCAAGGUCUGCUUGAAGGUAGAGUGCUGCAGCAGGCUCUCAUCAACAGGCUGUGGAGAAAUGCAUGAAAUUAAUAAUAAAUAAUUGAAAUAAAUGAUUUUGAAUUUU